UUAAAGUCUUUCUAGGGUUCCGCCAUCACGGGUCUGGUCCGAGAGAAAGCGCAAAGAGCAAUUUUUGUACACGGAGGGAGAAAAGCCCGGGAGAU
rnacentral:sRNA from 1 species